rnacentral:rRNA from 1 species
GUCCUUAUGAAUAAAUAUAANGUCGNNCCUGCUCAAUGAUUUAUUUAAAUAGCUGCGGUAUAUUGACCGUGCAAAGGUAGCAUAAUCAUUAGUUCUUUAAUUGGGAACUGGCAUGAAUGGUUUGACGAAAAAUAAUCUGUCUGCAUUAUGAAAUAUUGAAUUUUAUUUUUUGGUUAAAAAGCCGAAUUGUAAUUAAGGGACGAGAAGACCCUAUAGAGUUUAUAUAAUUAUUAUGUUUUAUAAGUUGGUUAAAGUUAUUUAUAUUAAAAUGUAUUUAUUAUAUUUUAUUGGGGUGAUAAGAGAAAAAUUAAAACUUCUUUUUAUGUGAAACUGAAAUAAUAGAAUUAAUUAUAAUGAUCCUAUUUUAAGGAAUGUGAGAAAUAAUUACCUUAGGGAUAACAGCGUAAUUUUAUUUGAGAGUUCAUAUCGAUGAUAAAGUUUGCGACCUCGAUGUUGGAUUAAGAUAACUAUUAGGUGUAGAAGUUUAAUAAGNGGGNCUGUUCNACCUUUAAUAUCUNACA